CCGCAACUCAGAUGCUGUGAACCCCGAGGCGCGAUGUCGUGCGGGAUCGCCCAUGCCACGAGGGGAGCGAAUCGCGAAACCGGCUGAGUGGGGA
rnacentral:ncRNA from 1 species